CUACGGGGGGCACCAGUGGGGAAUAUUGGACAAUGGGGGAAACCCUGAUCCAGCAAUGCCGCGUGUGUGAAGAAGGCCUGCGGGUUGUAAAGCACUUUCGGUUGGGAGGACUGCUUCUAGCACUAAUAUUGUUGGAAGUUGACGUUACCUUCAGAAGAAGCACCGGCUAACUCCGUGCCAGCAGCCGCGGUGAAUACGGAGGGUGCAAGCGUUAAUCGGAAUUACUGGGCGUAAAGCGCGCGUAGGCGGCUAGAUCAGUCGGGUGUGAAAGCCCCGGGCUUAACCUGGGAACUGCAUCAGAUACUGUCUAGCUUGAGUACAGGAGAGGAGAGUGGAAUUCCACAUGUAGCGGUGAAAUGCGUAGAUAUGUGGAGGAACACCAAUGGCGAAGGCAGCUCUCUGGCCUGAUACUGACGCUGAGGUGCGAAAGCGUGGGGAGCAAACAGGAUUAGAUACCCGGGUAGUC
rnacentral:rRNA from 1 species